AUGUUAUCACUUUGAACCUUACUGGAAAGUCACAAGGACCCUCAAAAGGGAAUAAAGACAGACUUUGUAUCUCUAAAAUAUCACCACUGUCGUCUUCUUCCUGGUGACUUUGAUAACUACACUGGCCACAAUUUUAGCAGUCAAAAAACACAAAUCUUCCACUGAACGUAUGUCGUGCUUGAAUGGCUGGAUUGGCUACCUGGGAAAGUGCUUCUAUUUUUCUGAAAAUACAAGAACCUGGGCAGCAAGCCAGAACUUCUGUGCCCCUCAUGCAGCCACUCUUGCUGUCUUCAACACCACAAAAGAACUGGAUUUCCUGAAACAAUAUUCUAACCAUUCUCAGUAUUGGAUUGGAUUGAGUUGAGGACCAGGACAGACCUGGAAGUGGAUAGAUGGAACCAUAUACGGUGGUUGGUUUAAAAUAAUUGGAAUUGGAGAAUGCGCCUAUCUACACAAAAUUGGAAUUAGCAGUGCCAGUUCGCACUUGGUUAGAAAAUGGAUUUGCAGCAAACCAGACCCAUGUAUACCCAGAAGUUAAGACAUCAUAGAUCUAAGAUAUUUUACACAAAAUGUAGUUUUUAUUCCUUCUAAAAGGAAUAUAUUAUAUUAA
rnacentral:lncRNA from 1 species